UACAGAGGCCUCAAGCGUUAGGCGGAAUCACUGGGCUUAAAGCGCGUGUAGGCGGACCGUUAAGUACCUUGUGAAAUCCCACGGCUCAACCGUGGAACUGCUGGGUAUACUGGCGGUCUUGGGCCACUCAGGGGUUGCCGGAACAAGCGGUGGAGCGGUGAAAUGCGUAGAUAUCGUGAGGAACACCAGAGGCGAAGGCGGCUACCUGGACAAUUGCUGACG
rnacentral:rRNA from 1 species